UGCCCAGCAACUCCUAUCCCUACCUCCACGUGGUACCGGCCGGAAACUAUGAGCAACCUUAGGGAAGAUCGGGUAACCAACCCCGGUGGGAACUUUGGUCGUAGGCUGACAGGGAAGU
rnacentral:ribozyme from 1 species